GAACCAAUGAGAUUAAACAGUUCGGUGGCAUGUUUAAUUAGUCCCUCCCCUCUCCUUAAUGCUGUGGUGAUGUCACUGCAGAAAGGAGGAGCCAGAAGAAGGCAGACGCAGAACCCUGUCACCAGUAAAGAAGAGAAAAAUAGUAGCUUGAGUCUUAAAGAAGAAAUCAACUAAAGCAGAAGAGAAUGACUGUGGUGUAUCACAGGUUGAGUCCCUCAUCUCUGUUCCAAAAAUACAGUGGACAACAUAUCCCGAAUACACUGGAUGCACUUGUGAUCUACCCCAACCCCCAUCUCAUGCCUUCCAAAUGGUAACCAGACCCUCAUAUUUACAAGGCUGCAUAAGAGAAUGACUGUAGAGUUUUUGAAACAAAUUUUAAUUCUCCCAGAGAACUUAUAAACAACCCAUUCAAGAAGUACAACACACAUUUAUAGUCAACCACAAUGACCACUGCAUGAGGUAUUUUUGAGAAAAACAUGCCAAUUUUGCAGCUAAUUCAAAUGACAGGCAUGCAAAAACAUCAACACAUCAAAUAAAUAGUUAUAGUCAAGACAGACUUUCAUCAUAUAAUGCUGACCUCAUAAACCUUUACUGCAUGACACAAGUAAACAAAUAUUGCUAAGUCCAAUAAUAUCUCUUUGCGUAUAAAUAGCAUGUAAGCAUACCUUUUCCUCUUCCAGGCGUUGUGUCAAACAGAAGAAAAUGUUUCUUGUCUGACACACGCUUUUAUAGCCCCGGCACACAGGGGGCGUUGCCUAAAAACUGAUAACACCCUAUAAUCUAAACCCCUGCAGGGAAUCACAUGACACAAACACCCAUUUUCAGCAGACACACACACAACAAACAAACAAACACAAUCCAAAAAUGUGGUAAUGACAGAGAUGAAGCACAGGUGCAGUUUGGAGUGUUUUUAACACUCAACAUUAAACGCAACGCAAGUUGCAAGUCAAACAGUAUACUGUGUAUAUCCACAGAGUAAAUUAUGCUGACCAAAAGACUAAGGUUAUCUCCUUGUGUCUCCUUGAGUGUGUGGUAUGUGUGGAUUGUGUGGUUCAAUAAGGUCAGGGUUUGACAGCUAUACUCUGCACUGAGAUAUUUCACAAUGUCAGAAAUAGAAAUUAUAAGAAGAACCUUAAUCUAAAUCUUCAGAGUGCAACUGAUUGCACAACUGGAUUCCUUAUGCUUUGUGUAUUUGAGAGCCCUAAAUCUGUUCCACCUCUCAAUGUAAUAGCCACAGUCUUAGGGUUUAAGAGUCAUGCUGUUACUUCUUUCUGACACAACACAUUCCAGUCAUGAGGUAUGUCUUUAAUCAUCACACACUGAUUGUUUCAUUGUACGCAAAUGCUAAUUCUGUCCCCACCCUUAAAAGGUAAAAAAUUAAACACAAUUAAACAUUAAGGCCCCAAAAGCAAUUAAAACACAAUGUGUCAAGCAACAUGCUUAUUAGGCUUUAAGACCCAGCAAAAUGAUCUAAUAUACUGAAACAUCCAGUUUUCACCCAGCUGUUUAUGUUAAUGACAUAAUCGACUGUAUGAAUACUCCACACGCUGGGUGUUAUGAUGUAACUCUGGGUGUAUUUGACAACUUGAUAAGGUGCAACUUAUCAAUCACUUGCUGAGAGAGGCGGCUUUCUAUGCGAGCACUUCGGCUGUGUGUCAAUCAGCGCAAGUACGGCAUUGAGUUCUAUUUCACAGCUUAACUCUAUUUAACAUCAAACACGUCCUCUUUAUUAUUCCCACUCACGGAUGUUUCUUUAUAACACUUGUGUGUCAAUAAUUUUAAGUAGUACUGUGCUAUGUGCUUACAUACCGCAAAAUAAAUGAUAAAACAAUCUCUAACAAUAUACCGUUAACACAAGAUACAUGUAUAUCAUUACACUGCUCAGCAGCAUGUUUAAGUUUCUGUUUACCAUAAUUCACGAUCUUUAUGUAUGUGUGAAUCAGUGUUUAAAUGUGAAUUAUCUGUAUAUGAAGAGAUCUGUCUCUUAAAUUAAAACAGCUAAUUUCUUA